ACGAAUGAUCAUCCUUGAUCUUCUACCCGCAAACCACUGUGGACACCAGACGUGCUUCGGCGUCGAGAGGCGCCGCCUUUAUGCUCAGAGUGAUGUAGUCUGUCUCAAAAGAAACGUCA
rnacentral:misc_RNA from 1 species